AUACGUAGGGGGCAAGCGUUAUCCGGAUUUACUGGGUGUAAAGGGAGCGUAGACGGUUUGGCAAGUCUGAUGUGAAAGCCCGGGGCUCAACCGCGGGACUGCAUUGGAAACUGUCAGACUUGAGUGCAGGAGAGGUAAGUGGAAUUCCUAGUGUAGCGGUGAAAUGCGUAGAUAUUAGGAGGAACACCGGUGGCGAAGGCGGCUUACUGGACUGUAACUGACGUUGAGGCUCGAAAGCGUGGGGAGCAAACAGGAUUAGAUGCCCUGGUAGUCCACGCCGUAAACGAUGAAUACUAGGUGUUGGGAGACAAUAGUUUCUCGGUGCCGCAGCAAACGCAAUAAGUAUUCCACCUGGGGAGUACGUUCGCAAGAAUGAAACUCAAAUGAAUUGACGGGG
rnacentral:rRNA from 1 species